CCUUCGGGUUGUAAACCUCUUUUGUACGGGAAGAAGGAAGUGACUGGUACCGUACGAAUAAGUCCCGGCUAACAUACGUGCCAGCAGCCGCGGUAAUACGUAGGGGACGAGCGUUGUCCGGAAUUACUGGGCGUAAAGGGCGCGCAGGCUGUGCUGCAAGUCAGCUGUNAAAUGUCUGGGCUUAACCCGGGCAUGCGGUUGAGACUGCAGUGCUGGAGUGCUGUAGAGGCAAGUGGAAUUCCCAGUGUAGCGGUGAAAUGCGUAGAUAUUGGGAAGAACCNCGGUGGCGNAGGCGCCNUGCUGGGCAGCNCCUGACGCUGAGGCGCGAAAGCCAGGGGAGCACCCGCGAUU
rnacentral:rRNA from 1 species